GACGAACCGGUGCGAACGUUGUUCGGAAUCACUGGGCUUAAAGGGCGCGUAGGCGGCCGACCAAGUCCGGGGUGAAAGCCCCAGCUCAACUGGGGAAGUGCCUCGGAUACUGGCCGGCUUGAGGGAGGUAGGGGCGGAUGGAACUUCCGGUGGAGCGGUGAAAUGCGUAGAGAUCGGGAAGACAUCGGUGGCGAAAGCGCUCUGCUGGACUGCAACUGACGACUCAGGACGAAAGCGUAGGGAGCGAAUGGG
rnacentral:rRNA from 1 species